GAUGAACGCUGGCGGCGUGCCUAAUACAUGCAAGUCGAGCGAACAGACGAGGAGCUUGCUCCUCUGACGUUAGCGGCGGACGGGUGAGUAACACGUGGAUAACCUACCUAUAAGACUGGGAUAACUUCGGGAAACCGGAGCUAAUACCGGAUAAUAUAUUGAACCGCAUGGUUCAAUAGUGAAAGACGGUUUUGCUGUCACUUAUAGAUGGAUCCGCGCCGCUUUAGCUAGUUGGUAAGGUAACGGCUUACCAAGGCAACGAUGCGUAGCCGACCUGAGAGGGUGAUCGGCCACACUGGAACUGAGACACGGUCCAGACUCCUACGGGAGGCAGCAGUAGGGAAUCUUCCGCAAUGGGCGAAAGCCUGACGGAGCAACGCCGCGUGAGUGAUGAAGGUCUUCGGAUCGUAAAACUCUGUUAUUAGGGAAGAACAAAUGUGUAAGUAACUAUGCACGUCUUGACGGUACCUAAUCAGAAAGCCACGGCUAACUACG
rnacentral:rRNA from 1 species